CAUUAGACAUGCGCAGUCGUUAGGGAAGGCAUAAAAGCAGAAAGUAGUGAGAGGCGACAGUUGGUAGCCUAAACCUUUUGCAGACGGUACGUUAUUUGUAGCAUGAGUUACGGUAGAGGUCCUCCUAGUAUAGAAGGCAUGAUUUCUUUGAAGGUUGAUAAUCUCACAUACAGGACAACACCAGAAGAUCUUCGCCGUGCCUUCGAAAAAUAUGGCGAUGUCGGUGACGUCUACAUUCCUCGUGACCGGUUUACCCGUGAAAGUCGCGGGUUUGCUUUUGUUCGUUUUUAUGACAAACGUGACGCCGAGGAUGCAAUGGACUCAAUGGAUGGCGCAAUUUUAGAUGGUCGUGAGGUUCGUUGUCAGAUGGCUCGCUAUGGAAGACCAGCCGAACCAUACAGACGGGGACCACCACCACGCCGCUUUGGACGUUACAGAUCUAGGUCAAGAUCUCGAUCAAGGCGCCAUAGAAGAAGGUCAAGGAGUCAUUCACGCAGCCGCUCAUACAGUCAGAGCAGGAGCCGGUCAGGAAGCCAGAGCAGAUCCAGAAGUCACAGUCGGGAGAGGAAUGAAAAGUCUCGCAGCAGAUCGCGAAGUGGCUCCAAGUCGCGCUCUCGCAGUCCUGCAAAGUCUGAAGGAUCACCCAAGGAGGAUGCUCAACAGAAUAACUCCGAGUGAGAAGUGCAUUAAAAAGUGGAGGCUGAACUCCUGAGCAGUUUCAUUGUGCUGCUUGCUGUCAGCAGCUCAUGACCAGUCCAGCCAGCACGCUGACGUUCAGGCGCUGUAAGGGGUAGUAAGAGCUGUGCAGUGCUGUAUGCAGUUAUCUUAGCUGUUGGGUGAGCGGAGGUGCCGGCUGCCUGUGCUGCAAGAGCUGUAGCAGUCUGCAUUGCUGUGAGCUGUAGCAGUCGCCGACAUGGUGAUCGGCGUGGGGAAAUGGCGUAGCUGCCGGCGCCCGAAAAGAGCUGAAAUCCUCAUGUUGCUUAAAGAGCCUGAUCUGACCAAGCAUUGAUGCACAUCCAGAUUUGUCCGCAUUCAAAACACAACUUGUUCCAACUUUCAUUUCUAGCCUUGGUUUAAAAAAUCAUUUAAGUGGGUUAUUUAAUGGCUAACUAUGAUGGUGUAGAAAUCUGUUUCCAUCUUAUUCCGCUCAAGUACCAUUGGGGCACAACUGCAUUGGCUGUUGAGAUUUUAAAGCCUUUCAUUGCUUCAUGUGUGCAUUCCUGUUUAUUCUAAUUAACAGUACACGCACGAGGUCAUAUUCAAAAGCAUUUGUGGUGCAAUGAAUAGCAAGGCUUUGGGGGAAAUAAUUUUUCAAUCUGGCAACAUGUUUGCAAGGUAGGUUCACUUGCACACAUCAGAUAUUGCAGGUUCCAGAAGCUGAAGGUGGAAAAAAAAUACAGGUAGACCAAUCUGCACAGGAUUGUUUUAAGAUUAAACAAAAGUGACAUUUCA
rnacentral:misc_RNA from 1 species